rnacentral:rRNA from 1 species
GCAGUGAGGAAUAUUGGUCAAUAGCCUAACGGCUGAACCAGCAACUUGUACGAACGAAAGACGCAACUAGCGUUGUAUAGUAUAUUAAUACUAUAUCAGUAACUAUGUUACAUUAAGUUCUAGAUAAAUAUUUGAUUAUGACAGAAUUUAUCUAUGAGUCUUGACUAAAUCAUGUGCCAGCCGUCGCGGUAAGACAUGGAAGACAAGCGUUAUUCAUCUUCAACAGGUUUAUAGGGUACUCAGACAGUUAAUUAAGCCUAAAUAAGGGACUGAUUCAACUAGAGUUUUAUAGAAGAAGGCUAGAACGGUAUGUGGAGAGAUGCAAUAUAUUGAUACAUAUUAAAAUCUGACAACGGCGAAGGCAACCUUUUAUGUAAAAACUGACGUUAAAGGACGAAGGCUACAAAAAAUUAAUAGGAUUAGAUACCCUAGUAUUCGUAGCAGUAAAUGAUGAAUGUCAUAGGUAAGUAGUAUUAUUUACGUAUAAAUGAAAGUGUAAGCAUUCCACCUUAAGAGUAACACGGCAACGUAGGAAUUGAAAUCAUUAGACCGUUUCUGAGAACAGUAGUGAAGUAUGUUAGUUAAAUUGAUGAUCCACAAAGAACCUUACCACAAUUUGAAUGUUAAUUCACAGGAGUUGCACGGCUGUCUUCAGUUGAUAUCGUGAGAUUUUGGUUAGCUCCAUUUAAUCAACGUAAACCCUUACUUUAAUUUAUACAUAAAGUAGUUCUCCAUUAUAUUGGAUAUGAUAAAAGGGACUAAGACAAGUCAUCAUGACCUAAAUAUUGUGGGC